rnacentral:lncRNA from 1 species
UUUUUCGCCCCGCCCUUCAAAUGCGAAAGCGACUGCCUUCUUGGAAUAAAAUACUUGGUCAGUGGAAUCUCUUCAACAAAAUAGAAGAGAAGCAGUCAUGGAGUGAAGAAAUAAAUCAUCUUUGUUUCUACUCAUCUGUCACUUAUGCAAUACAUACAAUAUGUAAAAAGGAAAAAUCCCUGUGUAAUAGCCUAAGGCAACCAGCAGCUUCCACGUCGGUUGGAUAUUAAUAAAUUUUUUUCUUUACUGUAAAAUAUACCCAUCAGCUUUUUUUUUUUUUUUUUUUUUUGAGAUGGAGUCUUGCACUGUCACCCAGGCUGGAGUGCAGUGGCGCAAUCUCCACCCACUGCAAGCUCUGCCUCCUGGGUUCACACCAUUCUCCUGCCUCAGCCUCCCAAGUAGCUGGGACUACAGGCGCCCGCCACCACACCCGGCUAGUUUUUUGUACUUUUAGUAGAGACGAGGUUUCACCAUAUUAGCCAGGAUGGUCUCGAUCUCCUGACCUCGUGAUCCACCUGCCUCGGCCUCCCAAAGUGCUGGGAUUACAGGCAUGAGCCACCGCACCCGGCCACUAGCUUUUCUAAGACACUUUGUUUGUUUUUAAAUACCAGACCUCUGCUAUGACAAUGUUUGAUUUUGUAAACUUCAGGUCAAAUCAUGUCUUCUGAAAAGUAACUGCAUAUAAAACACGUUGAGACAUUUGCUUAAGAUGUUGAUCCUGGUUUCAAGUAACAGCAUAAGGG